rnacentral:rRNA from 1 species
GAUGAACGCUGGCGGCGUGCCUAAUACAUGCUAGUCGAACGCUGAAGGAGGAGCUUGCUCUUCUGGCUGAGUUGCGAACGGGUGAGUAACGCGUAGGUAACCUGCCUUGUAGCGGGGGAUAACUAUUGGAAACGAUAGCUAAUACCGCAUGACAACAGUUAUUGCAUGAUAACUGUUUAAAAGGGGCAACUGCUCCACUACCAGAUGGACCUGCGUUGUAUUAGCUAGUUGGUGAGGUAACGGCUCACCAAGGCGACGGUACAUAGCCGCCCGGAGAGGGGGAUCGGCCAACCUGGGACUGGGACACGGCCCAGACUCCUACGGGAGGCAGCAGUAGGGAAUCUUCGGCAAUGGACGGAAGUCUGACCGAGCAACGCCGCGUGAGUGAAGAAGGGUUUCGGAUCGUAAAGCUCUGUUGUAAGAGAAGAACGAGUGUGAGAGUGGAAAGUUCACACUGUGACGGUAUCUUACCAGAAAGGGACGGCUAACUACGUG